AUUGAACGCUGGCGGCAGGCCUAACACAUGCAAGUCGAGCGGAUGAAGGGAGCUUGCUCCUGGAUUCAGCGGCGGACGGGUGAGUAAUGCCUAGGAAUCUGCCUGGUAGUGGGGGAUAACGUCCGGAAACGGGCGCGAAUACCGCAUACGUCCUGAGGGAGAAAGUGGGGGAUCUUCGGACCUCACGCUAUCAGAUGAGCCUAGGUCGGAUUAGCUAGUUGGUGGGGUAAAGGCCUACCAAGGCGACGAUCCGUAACUGGUCUGAGAGGCUGAUCAGUCACACUGGAACUGAGACACGGUCCAGACUCCUACGGGAGGCAGCAGUGGGGAAUAUUGGACAAUGGGCGAAAGCCUGAUCCAGCCAUGCCGCGUGUGUGAAGAAGGUCUUCGGAUUGUAAAGCACUUUAAGUUGGGAGGAAGGGCAGUAAGUUAAUACCUUGCUGUUUUGACGUUACCAACAGAAUAAGCACCGGCUAACUUCGUG
rnacentral:rRNA from 1 species